GUAGGGGUGCAAGCGUUGUUCGGAAUAUUGGGCGUAAAGCGCGUGUAGGUGGGCUAUGCAAGUCGGGGUGUGAAAUCCCUCGGCUCAACCGAGGAAGUGCAUCCGAAACUACAUAGCUAGAGGACGGUAGAGGGAGGUGGAAUUCCUAGUGUAGAGGUGAAAUUCGUAGAUAUUAGGAGGAACAUCUGUGGCGAAGGCGGCCUCCUGGGCCGUUCCUGACACUGAGACGCGAAAGCGUGGGUAGCAAACAGGAUUAGAUACCCUGGUAGUCCACGCCGUAAACGAUGAGUACUAGAUGUUGUGGGUAUUGACCCCUACAGUGUCGCCGCUAACGCAUUAAGUACUCCGCCUGGGAAGUACGGUCGCAAAGAUUA
rnacentral:rRNA from 1 species